rnacentral:rRNA from 1 species
AGAACGAACGCUGGCGGCAGGCCUAAUACAUGCAAGUCGAACGCACUCUUCGGAGUGAGUGGCAGACGGGUGAGUAACGCGCGGGAACCUUCCCAAUGGUACGGAAUAACUCCGGGAAACCGGUGCUAAUACCGUAUAAGCCCCUCGGGGGAAAGAUUUAUCGCCAUUGGAUGGGCCCGCGUCGGAUUAGCUAGUUGGUAAGGUAAUGGCUUACCAAGGCUACGAUCCGUAGCUGGUCUGAGAGGAUGAUCAGCCACACUGGGACUGAGACACGGCCCAGACUCCUACGGGAGGCAGCAGUAGGGAAUCUUGGACAAUGGGCGAAAGCCUGAUCCAGCCAUGCCGCGUGAGUGAAGAAGGCCUUAGGGUUGUAAAGCUCUUUUGGCGGGGACGAUAAUGACGGUACCCGCAGAAUAAGCCCGGCUAACUUCGUGCCAGCAGCCGC